CCCUUAGAUGUCCUGGGCCGCACGCGCGCUACACUGAGUGUCUGAGAUACGAGUCUGCCUGGUCCGGCAAGGUCUAGGUAAUCGCUAAAAGACACAUCAUGCUUGGGAUAGAUUAUUGCAAAUAUUAAUCUUGAACGAGGAAUUCCUAGUAAGCGCAAGUCAACAGCUUGCGUUGAUUACGUCCCUGCCCUUUGUACACACCGCCCGUCGCUACUACCGAUUGAAUGGCUUAGUGAGGCCUCCGGAUUGGCUUUGGGGAGCCGGCAACGGCACCUCAUGGCUGAGAAGUUGGUCAAACUUGGUCAUUUAGAGGAAGUAAAAGUCGUAACA
rnacentral:rRNA from 1 species